UGCUUACUUCGGCAGCAAUAUAAUUAAAUCGCAAGGAUACAGAGAAGAUUAGCAAGGACCCUGUGCAAAGAUGACACACAAUUUGUGAAGCAUUUCAUACUUUU
rnacentral:snRNA from 1 species